UCUCCGUAGGUGAACCUGCGGAGGGAUCAUUACUGAGUACUCGACCUCGCGGGUCGACCUCGCACCUACGGUUAUCGGUACUGUCGGUUCUUUCGCGGGCCGCCGCGUCCCCGGCCGGAAGCGGCUAAUAGGCGGCGCGCACCCGCCAGUGGCCUUCGAAGUCGGAAUGUUAGUGUCGUCCGUAUACAUAAUAAUAGAUAAAACUUUCAACAACUCAUCUCUUUGUUAUGGCAUCGGUGAAUAACGGAGCGGAACGGAACACCACACGACUGCAGUCCC
rnacentral:misc_RNA from 1 species